rnacentral:rRNA from 1 species
CCUACGGGAGGCAGCAGUGAGGAAUAUUGGUCAAUGGACGAGAGUCUGAACCAGCCAAGUAGCGUGAAGGAUGACUGCCCUAUGGGUUGUAAACUUCUUUUAUAUGGGAAUAAAACAGGGUAUGCAUACCCUCUUGUAUGUACCAUAUGAAUAAGGAUCGGCUAACUCCGUGCCAGCAGCCGCGGUAAUACGGAGGAUCCGAGCGUUAUCCGGAUUUAUUGGGUUUAAAGGGAGCGUAGGUGGAUUGUUAAGUCAGUUGUGAAAGUUUGCGGCUCAACCGUAAAAUUGCAGUUGAAACUGGCAGUCUUGAGUACAGUAGAGGUGGGCGGAAUUCGUGGUGUAGCGGUGAAAUGCGUAGAGAUCACGAAGAACUCCGAUUGCGAAGGCAGCUCACUGGACUGCAACUGACACUGAUGCUCGAAAGUGUGGGUAGCAAACAGGAUUAGAUACCCUAGUAGUC